rnacentral:rRNA from 1 species
GAUGAACGCUGGCGGCGUGCUUAACACAUGCAAGUCGAACGAAGCACUUUAUUUGAUUUCCUUCGGGACUGAUUAUUUUGUGACUGAGUGGCGGACGGGUGAGUAACGCGUGGGUAACCUGCCUUGUACAGGGGGAUAACAGUUGGAAACGGCUGCUAAUACCGCAUAAGCGCACAGCAUCGCAUGAUGCAGUGUGAAAAACUCCGGUGGUAUAAGAUGGACCCGCGUUGGAUUAGCUAGUUGGUGAGGUAACGGCCCACCAAGGCGACGAUCCAUAGCCGACCUGAGAGGGUGACCGGCCACAUUGGGACUGAGACACGGCCCAAACUCCUACGGGAAGCAGCAGUGGGGAAUAUUGCACAAUGGGCGAAAGCCUGAUGCAGCGACGCCGCGUGAGCGAAGAAGUAUUUCGGUAUGUAAAGCUCUAUCAGCAGGGAAGAUAAUGACGGUACCUGACUAAGAAGCACCGGCUAAAUACGUG